rnacentral:rRNA from 1 species
ACGUAGGUGGCAAGCGUUGUCCGGAAUUAUUGGGCGUAAAGCGCGCGCAGGCGGUCCUUUAAGUCUGAUGUGAAAGCCCACGGCUCAACCGUGGAGGGUCAUUGGAAACUGGGGGACUUGAGUGCAGAAGAGGAAAGCGGAAUUCCACGUGUAGCGGUGAAAUGCGUAGAGAUGUGGAGGAACACCAGUGGCGAAGGCGGCUUUCUGGUCGGAUACUGACGCUAAAACGCGAAAGCGUGGGGAGCAAACAGGA